UCCCUCUCUCCCUCCUUCCCUCUUUCCCCUCUCUCAUUUUCUUAUCUGACACAGGUUUCCCACAUGCUCCAAUCUCAGUAGCAAAUGGCUACAGACAACAGGCAUAUCAGAUGUUCUCUCACAGAAGCAUGAAACUUCCAGAACAGAGGGCUAGACACAGGAAAUGGAGCAACCUGCAAUCCCAUAGCUUAGUAGCAGGGAAACAGAAAAUCUAAGGAUGAGGAGGACUGCCAUUGCUGGGGUUUUUAUCUUAUCCUGCCUCUUAAGUGGAAAACUUGCUCAAGAAUUCCCUGAAGAGCAGUUGGCCCAGGAAUCCAGGCAGCAGCUGACCCUCAACCAGGAAGAAGCCAGAUCGUUAGCAGGAGAAGGUGAUCAAAGGCCUGGGGCACAUGAAAGGUUGGCAGUUCUGCCCUCGGAGUCUGCCAGGAACAAGGGUUUAGGUUUCAAAGAAGCUUUGUGUCUCCAUCUCUUGCACUUAUGAAAAUUAUUAAGACUUGUUUGGGGGAGAAUUAUUGGCAAAUGUAACCUCUGGGUGAAAGAUAUAUUUUUGGAAAAUAAUUGGCCUAUUGCAUAUAAGUUGCUUAGCAGAGUCCAAGACAUAAACACCAUUCUUUUGUUGUGGUGGUUUAUUUUUUGAGACCAUUUUAAUUACAGCCUUUUCCCUUCCCUUUCCUCCUUCCAAACCCUCCCGUAGGCCCAUUCCCCACUCUUCUUCAAAUUCAUGGCUUCAGUUUGUUAUUGUAUGCAUAUCCACAUUUAAAAAUAUAUUUGUUGAUUGACCUGAUUAAUGGCUCUCGUGGCCCAGACUGUCUUCUAUUGAAAGUCACCUCAAUUGGAGCAAAGGAAGAUUAAAAAUGCAUUGUACAAUAUGUCUAGUAGGUUCUUAUG